AUUUCCUGAUCGAACAGCCUCACUUGUGUUGCUGUCAGUGCCAGUAGGGCAGGCAGGAAUGCAGCAGAGAGGACUCGCCAUCGUGGCCUUGGCUGUCUGUGCGGCCCUACAUGCCUCAGAAGCCAUACUUCCCAUUGCCUCCAGCUGUUGCACGGAGGUUUCACAUCAUAUUUCCAGAAGGCUCCUGGAAAGAGUGAAUAUGUGUCGCAUCCAGAGAGCUGAUGGGGAUUGUGACUUGGCUGCUGUCAUGUGAGUGCUCUUCAGCCGGGAGGUCUAAACCUGCACAGUGAUUAUUUCCCUGACCAACGAAUAAUAGGUUGGAAAGGCUUUGCUUGAUUACAACAUACAAACAAUCAUCCAAACAAGGGAGGGAAGAGUAAAUAUUCUGUCCAUUAGGCCCCAGGCUCCCUGGAGUAAAUUCAUAGUCUCUCUGUCCAAAGAUGUCCUGAGCCCCAUACCAGCACACCAUCUACUUCCACCCUGUAGUGCUGUGGUUAGGACUAAAUUCCCCCAGUCACCAAAAAGUGUUCAUGACUUUCCCAAGCAAAACAAAACCCCAAACAAAAGAUAACUCUGU
rnacentral:sRNA from 1 species